AGAGUAUAGAAGGAAUGCCAAUGAGUGAGCCAGCACAGAAAGACAAACUCACAUGUUUCAUGUUCAGAAUCUAGAUUUAAAAAUCUAUACUUAUUCAUAAACAUAUACAUAUAUAUGUGCACAUGAGACAUAAAAAACAAAGGUGAAUGGAACAAGCACACGACAGCUUCAAGGUAUCGGGUGGAAGAAGGUUUUGAUUGUAAAUACGAAGAAGAGCACAGCCAGAAACAUCUGGAAGAGUCCAGAUCAAUGGGAAAAAAUAGUAGACUAAACUUGGCCAGUAGACUGAACUGGGUGGGAACAAGUUGGGAGUUUCUGGCGAUUUGUUCCUUUUCAUCCUGAGAUCUUGAGCUGUGGAGCUCUUGGCCUCGUUCUCAGGGGAGUGUUGAAGAAUCCUUCCAUGAAAACCUUUCACCCUCAGGAAACUGUGGGACCCAAAUUAAGAUGUUUUUGAGCUCCUGCUUCAAGCAAGACAAGCACCCCAGUGAGAGAUACUGUGCAGGUACAAAGGAACACCAUCAUUGAUCAGGAACUAGAAGUUCUGAAACCAUGAUGCCAAGAACAGAGUUGUCUUUGAAGCAAUGUGAUGUCUUCUCUGCUUCAUCUUAGUCAAAUAAUUUCAAGUUCAGUCUCAGAGAGCAAGGAGGGUGUUUGGAGGUUGCAGAUGCUGUGGACAUGAAUGCUGGCCCAUCUUGCAGCAGACUCUAUAGAGAUAACCACAGGAAAACACAUCCAUUUAUCAUGUUUUACUCCAAGUACACAGACGCCAUCAAGUCAAAGCAAAACAAAUACUGUAUUUUUAUAAGGCUGUAUUUACUCUCUUCUGGGAAGGAUGUUCACAACG